rnacentral:rRNA from 1 species
UACGUAGGGGGCAAGCGUUGUCCGGAUUUAUUGGGUGUAAAGAGCGUGUAGGCGGUUUGGUAGGUCCGUUGUGAAAACUCGAGGCUCAACCUCGAGACGCCGAUGGAAACCAUCAGACUAGAGUCCGGAAGAGGAGAGUGGAAUUCCUGGUGUAGCGGUGAAAUGCGCAGAUAUCAGGAAGAACACCCGUGGCUAAGGCGGCUCUCUGGGACGGUACUGACGCUGAGACGCGAAAGCGUGGGGAGCGAACAGG